rnacentral:rRNA from 1 species
UACAGAGGUCCCAAGCGUUGUUCGGAUUCAUUGGGCGUAAAGGGUGCGUAGGUGGCGUCGUAAGUCGGGUGUGAAAUCUCGGGGCUUAACUCCGAAACUGCAUUCGAUACUGCGGUGCUUGAGGACUGGAGAGGAGACUGGAAUUUACGGUGUAGCAGUGAAAUGCGUAGAGAUCGUAAGGAAGACCAGUGGCGAAGGCGGGUCUCUGGGCAGUUCCUGACACUGAGGCACGAAGGCCAGGGGAGCAAACGGG